rnacentral:rRNA from 1 species
GAUAAACGCUGGCGGCGCACAUAAGACAUGCAAGUCGAACGAACGAGAUUGAUUCUUUUAGUUUUAAUCAAGUUAGUGGCGGACUGGUGAGUAACGCGUGAGCAACCUACCUACAAGAGGGGAAUAACAGUUAGAAAUGACUGCUAAUACCGCAUAAGCUGAUAGAAUCGCAUGAUUUAGUCAGAAAAGGAGCAAUCCGCUUGUAGAUGGGCUCGCGUCCGAUUAGCUAGUUGGUGAGGUAAAGGCUUACCAAGGCGACGAUCGGUAGCCGGACUGAGAGGUUGAACGGCCACAUUGGGACUGAGAUACGGCCCAG